AUGUCACGGAUCCGCGGCACGACCCCUCCACCAAUCAGCGCCCACCCCUUCCAUCCUUUAAAGCUCUCCAUCCCCUCUCGGUCUCGCCACAACCCAUCCCCAAUUCCCCACUGGUUCUCCUACCUACCAGCGAAACCCCACCUCCCCGCACCUCCGACCUUCGUAGCGGCAGCAGAAUCCAUGGCGCCCAAGGCGGAGAAGAAGCCGGCGGCAAAGAAGCCCGCGGAGGAGGAGCCCGCGGCGGAGAAGAAGCCCAAGGCCGAGAAGCGGCUGCCGGCGGGGAAGUCCGCCGCUGGCAAGGACGGCGACAAGAAGGGUAAGAAGAAGGCGAAGAAGAGCGUGGAGACGUACAAGAUCUACAUCUUCAAGGUGCUGAAGCAGGUGCACCCGGACAUCGGCAUCUCCUCCAAGGCCAUGUCCAUCAUGAACUCCUUCAUCAACGACAUCUUCGAGAAGCUCGCCGGCGAGGCCGCCAAGCUCGCCCGCUACAACAAGAAGCCCACCAUCACCUCCCGGGAGAUCCAGACGUCCGUCCGCCUCGUCCUCCCUGGCGAGCUCGCCAAGCACGCCGUCUCCGAGGGCACCAAGGCCGUCACCAAGUUCACCUCCUCCUAG
rnacentral:rRNA from 1 species